rnacentral:rRNA from 1 species
CUUUGUAGCAUACAAGGCAGANGGCUCAGUAACACGUAGNNNNNNNNNANGNACGGGGAUAACCUCGGGAAACUGAGAANNNNNNNNGAUAGAUCAUUAUGCCUGGAAUGGUUUAUGGUCGAAAUGAUUUAUCGCCGUAGGAUGGGACUGCGGUCUAUCAGCUUGUUGGUGAGGUAAUGGCCCACCAAGGCUAUAACAGAUACGGGCUCUGAGAGGAGAAGCCCGGAGAUGGGUACUGAGACACGGACCCAGGCCCUAUGGGGCGCAGCAGGCGAGAAAACUUUGCAAUGUGCGAAAGCACGACAAGGUUAAUCCGAGUGUUUUCUGCUAAAGAAAUCUUUUGUCAGUCCUAAAAACACUGAUGAAUAAGGGGUGGGCAAGUUCUGGUGUCAGCCGCCGCGGUAAAACCAGCACCUCAAGUGGUCAGGAGGAUUAUUGGGCCUAAAGCAUCCGUAGCCGGCCGUGUAAGUUUUCGGUUAAAUCUAUACGCUCAACGUAUAGGCUGCCGGGAAUACUGCACAGCUAGGGAGUGGGAGAGGUAGACGGUACUCGGUAGGNNGGGGUAAA